AGAGCUUCAACCACUGCUUUCCCCUUAAUGCCUAACCAAGGUCAUAAGAUAAUGGAUGAAAAAUCCAAGAGGUAGCAUAUGUGCAACCUUUACAGCAGACAAAACUAGAUGUAAAAUUACCAUCAUGCUACAGGAAAAUAUAAAAGAAAUUGAUAAUGAUUGUAUAAUGUGAUUUUUCCCCUCCUAACUUUCAUUAGGAUAGAUCAUUACAAGAAGAUAGGAUUACAACGACUAUGAAAUGGAAAAUAAAACUAGACUACAGAAAUUUCUUUGAAUCACAAAAAGACGUGUCAUGUUGCCAAAAAGAUAAAAUUUACCCCAGAACACAAGCUCAUGAAAUGUUGGUGUGAAAAAGGAAAACAAAAUGAGAAAACAAAUGUGAACUAGAAAUCACUUACUUUGUCGUACAAGCGACCACAUGACUUGAGAUGCUACACGCUUCUUGCAAAAUUGAAGCAUACAGCAACAUUAAGAGAGGCUUUUUCCCCUUUUUAAUAAUUUAUUUCCAGGCGAGGUCAUUAGUAGAAUUAAAAAAAAAAGGCUAUCACUGCUUUAAGGAUGGAAGCAAGCACUCGUAGACACGCUCCAUUCGUGAUGUCACUACAAGCUUAUACGUAGUUUGAAGGCCGGGUUUUCCCAGAUCAAUAAUAUCCUGCCUCAAACUUUGCCAUUCACCAGUUGACUUUGCAUGCCUCUCAACAGCAUGAAAUAGGCGAUCCAAACUGUAUAAGACCAAUCCAAACAUGCAUUGCGACUCCUUUUCCAGUCCUUGGUCAACAAAU
rnacentral:misc_RNA from 1 species